GACGAACGCUGGCGGCGUGCUUAACACAUGCAAGUCGAGCGGUAAGGCCCUUUCGGGGGUACACGAGCGGCGAACGGGUGAGUAACACGUGGGUGACCUGCCCUCAGCUCUGGGAUAAGCCUGGGAAACCGGGUCUAAUACCGGAUAUGACUCCAUGACGCAUGUUGUGGGGUGGAAAGCCUUGUGCGGCUGAGGAUGGGCCCGCGGCCUAUCAGCUUGUUGGUGGGGUGAUGGCCUACCAAGGCGACGGCGGGUAGCCGGCCUGAGAGGGCGACCGGCCACACUGGGACUGAGACACGGCCCAGACUCCUACGGGAGGCAGCAGUGGGGAAUCUUGCGCAAUGGGCGAAAGCCUGACGCAGCGACGCCGCGUGAGGGAUGACGGCCU
rnacentral:rRNA from 1 species